CAAACCCUGGCCUCAAGCCCCAUUCACUUAAAGCCUUUAUACUCACCGGGCUGUCCGGCUCCCUCUUCUAAUCCUCCAGGGUCCGGCCUCUCAUCCUGAGCUUCUGGGUUAUCUGGGGGAGUCUCCCCACAGCUCGCCCUCGCAAUUUGCCAAGGGGCAACUUGCCCACGGCUCUCCUUCCCCUGCGGAUGGCCCCUUGCGAUAGCUCCCGCGGCCCGAGACCUGAAAAGCCUUGUUGAAGCCGCAGCUCAGCCAGCCCAGCUGCUGCAUCCGCA
rnacentral:lncRNA from 1 species